UAUUUAAUAUCUUUUUGAAACUAAGUGUGCUGCAUAGCAAAUGUAUUUUUACCUUAAGGCCAGUUCAGAUCAAGAAGUCAUCAGCUUAAGAAUAUUUUGCAGUUUUUUCAGUUUUUGUGACCUCUAGGGUUUUAGAACAUUUGCUGAUGGCUGCUGUAGUUUCUUGAGAUUCAGCUUGUCAUAUGUUGAAUCCAGUGUCCAACAUCUCACCAAUUUCAUAGCCCUGUUUUAUUACAAUAUGUUAACCCCUUUUGUCAAUGCAGUGUGGUAGAAUGCUGUGACACGGAGGACCAGGCUUAGAUGCUGGCACUGCAUUGGUUUGAGCAUGUUUACUGCUCAAUGUACGCUGCAUGGCCAAAAGUAUGUGGACACCCCUUCUAAUUGGGGUGGGUUACUGUAGCCACACCCAUUACUAACAGGUGCAUAAAAUCUAGCAUACUGCCUUGCAAUCUCUAUAGACAAACAUUGGUAGUAGAAUGAGUCAUACUGAAGAGCUUGGUGACUUUCAACAUGGCACUGUCAUAGGAUGCCACCUCUGCCCUGCUAGAGCUGCCCUGGUCAACAUUAAGUCUAGGAGUAACCGCAGUUCAUCCAUGAGGCCAGGAGAAUGCUACCUACCCAAAUGCAUAAUGCCAACUGUGAAGUUUGGUGGAGGAUCUUCAUUCUGACCUCAUCUCAUUGUAUUUAAUUUGAGCCAUUGAAGCCUCAUUGGAUUAUAACAAUAUGUUUUAUAACAAGCUCAUUAAUUACUAGUCUUGCCCCAUUUCCAGUCACUGUUCUAGCAAUGUUGUGAUCACAUCACCAAAACAUUGCUGUCAUGUUCUAACCACACUGACUUCUAAAAACCACUGUCUGACAUUAUAUCCGACGUUCUUAUCCCAUUAAAUACAGGAAAUAAAAUCUGUAACGUAGUUUUUGACACUCGUUUCUUAUGGUUGUGUUUAUUAUCCAAAGCCUCAUUUGUGACAAAACAUGACAAUUAUGUGUAAUCUCUGCUUUGAAGUAAAUUACUGAGAGAUAACUUCACCUACCUGGAGUUUAUUGAACUGAUGUCUUUUGGAACACCUGCAUGACUCACACCUCUUAUGUGUUUGCCUGUUGUCAGAGACUUUCAUUUUAGUCCAGAUUGAUGCCGGAUACAUAACAUUAUACUAUAUACUAUAUUAUGUUAUAUAUUAACAAUGGCUUUGUAGUUAAUGUUUGUAACCUAUUUGUGUUAACUUUGAACUGGAAAAAAAAGAAAUCAUGUGUGAGAGAUACAGUACAUGGUCUAAUAUCACUCAUUUUCCCAAGCAUCGUUGGUGUGUGCUGCUGCAAUGGCUAAAAGCUUAAAAGCUUUGCAGCGAUCCGUAUGAGAACAAUGACUCUGGCUUGGGGCUCCGCAGUGUAAUGCAUCUCCUGCUUUUCUUCUGCGAGCGCCCCUUUCAUAGAACAUCUUCAUUCCACUGGCAACGGAGAACUGAAAAAGAUCUGAGACAUUUAUUUUCGUGUUCUCAAAAUAACACUCCAUUGUAAUGGGCUUGCUUUUAUGGAUUUUUAUGGAAAUGUUGUCUUCCAUUGGGGUUGCAGCUGGCCUAAAGGGUGCUAUAGGCCAGCUGUACAGAACCAAACCAUGCAGAUAAUCUAACCAAGUCACAGGGGUUAAACAUUAGAUUUUAGUACUGGGAAGGGUUAUUACUCAGCAGUUAUAAAAGCCUUUUAGAGCAAAAAUGUAACCAUGUCACAAUCUGAAGGCCAAAUUUUUAGAUUAUGCAUUUCGCUAAAAGGUGUAUGUGUUUAGCUAGUUUCUCAAAGUACUGCCGAUGUUGUAUUAAAAAUGUAUUUACCAAAAUACGUACGUAUCUCUUCAAAAUUGUCUGCAUGUAUUGAGAUGAUAGUUAAAAUGCUAUGGACCUGUAAAGUUAGGAGUCCGCACCUUUGCUAUAAAAGUUCAGUCAAAAUGCAACACAAAGAAUGUGUAAUGCUUUACUCUUUGGUGGUUAGCAUAAUAGUUGAAAGAACACAAUUUCUCUUAUAUAUAUAAACAAGACCAAGUUAAAACCUAGUAUAUGGCUGGACCUAACACACGUGAUCCGGCCGACCAAUGGUGUAACUUCAUCACUCAGUCACUCAGUCACAGACAUUCGUGUUUGUAGGGCUGGCCCCGCUGUUGUGGUCCAGCCAAAAA